rnacentral:rRNA from 1 species
UACGGGGGGUGCGAGCGUUGUCCGGAAUCACUGGGCGUAAAGGGUGCGUAGGCGGCGCGGUAAGUCGGGUGUGAAAUCUCGGAGCUUAACUCCGAAACUGCAUUCGAUACUGCCGUGCUUGAGGACUGGAGAGGAGACUGGAAUUUACGGUGUAGCGGUGAAAUGCGUAGAUAUCGUAAGGAAGACCAGUGGCGAAGGCGGGUCUCUGGACAGUUCCUGACGCUGAGGCACGAAGGUCAGGGGAGCAAACAGG